UCAACAUCAUCACAGCAUACUUCUUUUUCUUUAACCACACAUUAAGAAUUUUCGCUAUUCUACGUUGCAGACUCAAACGUAAUCUCACUAAGAAUCUCUUGGAUUUGAUUUGAAGACUUAAAUACGAUUGCCACGUAAGCGGAUAAAAUCUCUUGAGGACAAUAAUAAAAUGGCCAAGAAGCAAACGUUUCGAUGCCAUGUGAGAUUCUGAACUGAAUGGAAAAAUUAAAAAGAUUUGCUGCUUUGCUGGACAAAAACCAAAAAAAAAGAAAAAAAUCAAAAAAAAAAAAACACUUCUAGCCAAAAACAAAAACCAACGUAAAUUCAAUAUUCGAUUGAGAAAAAAAAAUUCGGCAGGAAAACCAGAUGAAACCACGCAGUAAUUGCUACGAAAAAAAAAUCAAAACAAGAGCACAGAAAAGGCACUUCAUAGUGUAAGAAGGCAUACGGAUGCAGCCAUGCACGCAACAACUUGGAGUAAAACAAUUGAGAUGUGCCAGCCUACCAUGAAAAUAAACCAUUGAAAAAAGAGACGACAAUAAACCAAACAAAAAAUACAAAAAAUGCAAAUCAAUAUCUUUUUCAUUACCACACGCAAGUGGAGUGGACUUCAAAAGCAAUGCAAUGGCCCAAAUAUGGAAAACUUGCAUUAUGGGUACAGCAGUUCAUUAUACAAAACCAUAAAAGAGUUGUGGAAAAAUGGAAGGCCUUUAAUAUAGUUGUGUAUGAUAUCGGAGCCCACCGUGGCGCAUAGGUUAGCAUGUCCAGUAAUGACGCCUAACACAUGGGCUCAAAUCCCAUCAUGAACAACAAAUGUUCAGCUGUGGUUAUCCCCUUACUAAUGCUGGCUGUAUUGUGAGGUAUCCUGCCAUGUUAACACUUCUCUACUAAGUGGUGUCGCUAUGCGGCAUGCCGUUCGGACUCGGCAAAAAAAGGAAGCCCCUUACCAUUGAGCUUAAACGUUAAUCGGACUGCAAUCAUUAAUAUCAGAGAAGUAUCUCCUGUUGCUUAGUGGAAUUUUCACAAAGCCGAAAUAAUUCCAAAUAAACACUGAAAGAGUCUGAGAAUCAUCAACUGAACUUGAACUUGGCGUCCUUUCCAAUAAGC